rnacentral:rRNA from 1 species
UACAGAGGUGUCAAGCGUUGCUCGGUGUCACUGGGCUUAAAGGGCGCGUAGGCUGCGCAGUACGGCUCGGGUGAAAUCCCUCGGCUUAACCGAGGAACUGCCCUCCAAACUGUUUGGCUUGAGACCGGGAGAGGUGAGUGGAAUUCCCAGUGUAGCGGUGAAAUGCGUAGAUAUUGGGAGGAACACCAGUGGCGAAGGCGGCUCACUGGACCGGUACUGACGCUGAGGCGCGAAAGCCAGGGGAGCAAAGCGGG